rnacentral:rRNA from 1 species
GACAGAGGUGCCGAGCGUUAGGCGGAAUCACUGGGCUUAAAGCGUGUGUAGGCGGACCGUUAAGUACCUUGUGAAAUCCCCCGGCUCAACCGGGGAACGCGUGGGUAUACUGGCGGUCUUGAGCCAUCCAGGGGCAGUCGGAACAGACGGUGGAGCGGUGAAAUGCGUAGAUAUCGUCUGGAACGCCGAAGGUGAAAACAACUUGCUGGGGGUGUGCUGACGCUGAGACACGAAAGCCAGGGAGCAAACGGG